rnacentral:rRNA from 1 species
GACGAACGCUGGCGGCGUGCCUAACACAUGCAAGUCGAACGGAGAAGCUCCAGCUUGCUGGAGUGGAUGAGUGGCGAAGGGGUGAGUAACACGUGUGCAAACCGCCCCUGACUCUGGAAUAAGAGCUGGAAAAGGCGUCUAAUACUGGAUACGAGAAGGGUACCCAUGGGCAUCUUCAGGAAAGUUCUUCGGUUGGGGAUGGGCUGGCAGGCUAUCAGCUUGUUUGUCAGGUAGUGACGCACAAAGGUUACGACGGGUAGCCGGCCUGAGAGGGCGGCCGGGCUCACUGGGACUGAGACACGGAGCAGACGCGUACGGGAGGCAGCAGUGGAGAGUAUUGCGCAGUGGGCGAGAGCCAGAUGCGGCGACGCCGCGUGAGUGAUGACGGCCUUCGGGUUGUAAACCUCUUUCUGCGGAGAUGAAGCGAAAGUGACGGUACCUGCAGAAGAAGCACCGGCUAACUACGUG